CAGCAUCUUUAAUAAACCCCCCAGUUGCAUUUGUGGUCUCUGGGACAAGAAAGGAUGCAAGAUCAAUCUUAGAAUCCAAAGCUGAGAGUCAUGCGUCAGUUGCUCUUAGUUAUUUCACCUCUAAGACAGAA